GGAAUAUAAGAACCCGUCUCUUAACUUUUAACUAAAAAAGCUAAGAACCGGUUCUUAAAUAAGAGUUUUAAGAGCCGGUUCUUAACUUUUUUAGUUAAAAGUUAAGAGACGGGUUCUUAUAUUCU
rnacentral:pre_miRNA from 1 species